GGUUGUGGCUUAGUGGUAGAGCACUUGCCUAGCAUGUGUGAGGCACUGGGUUUGAUCACCGGCACCA
rnacentral:tRNA from 1 species